UGGGGAAUCUUGCGCAAUGGGCGAAAGCCUGACGCAGCGACGCCGCGUGGGGGAUGAAGCUUUUCGGAGCGUAAACCCCUUUCGACCCGGAAGAAAGCCCGCAAGGGUCUGACGGUACGGGUAUAAGAAGCCCCGGCUAACUACGUGCCAGCAGCCGCGGUAAAACGUAGGGGGCCAGCGUUGCUCGGAAUUACUGGGCGUAAAGGGUCUGUAGGCGGUGCGGCAAGUCGGAAGUGAAAUUCCAGGGCUUAACUCUGGGCUGCUUCCGAAACUGCUGUGCUCGAGUGUGAGAUAGGCGAGUGGAAUUGCAGGUGUAGCGGUGAAAUGCGUAGAUAUCUGCAGGAACAUCCGAGGCGAAAGCGGCUCGCUGGAUCACAACUGACGCUGAGAGACGAAAGCUAGGGGAGCAAACAGGAUUAGAUACCCUGGUAGUCCUAGCCCUAAACGAUCAGGACUUGACGUGAGCCCUGUACGGGGCUCGUGCCGUAGCUAACGCGAUAAGUCCUGCGCCUGGGGAGUACGGUCGCAAGGCUG
rnacentral:rRNA from 1 species